GUGGGAAAUAUUGGACAAUGGGCGCAAGCCUGAUCCAGCAAUGCCGCGUGGGUGAAGAAGGUUUUCGGAUUGUAAACUUCUGUCCCAUGAGACGAAGGAAGUGACGGUACCAUGGGAGGAAGCCCCGGCUAACUACGUGCCAGCAGCCGCGGUAAUACGUAGGGGGCGAGCGUUGUCCGGAAUUAUUGGGCGUAAAGGGUGCGUAGGCGGCCCUGCAAGUCAGAUGUGAAACCCCUGUGCUUAACAUAGGGCUUGCAUUUGAAACUGUGGGGCUUGAGUAUGGGAGAGGCAAGCGGAAUUCCCGGUGUAGCGGUGAAAUGCGUAGAGAUCGGGAGGAACACCAGUGGCGAAGGCGGCUUGCUGGACCAAAACUGACGCUGAAGCACGAAAGCGUGGGUAGCAAACAGGAUUAGAUACCCCUGUAGUCC
rnacentral:rRNA from 1 species